UACGGGGGGAGCAAGCGUUGUUCGGAUUUACUGGGCGUAAAGGGCGCGUAGGCGGUCGUGACAAGUCACUUGUGAAAUCUCCGGGCUUAACUCGGAACGGUCAAGUGAUACUGUCGGACUAGAGUACAGAAGGGGCAACUGGAAUUCUCGGUGUAGCGGUGAAAUGCGUAGAUAUCGAGAGGAACACCUGCGGCGAAGGCGGGUUGCUGGGCUGAUAUUGACGCUGAGGCGCGAAAGCCAGGGGAGCGAACGGG
rnacentral:rRNA from 1 species